rnacentral:rRNA from 1 species
AGGCUUAACACAUGCAAGUCGAGCGGGGAAGUAUAGCUUGCUACAUUUCCUAGCGGCGGACGGGUGAGUGAUGCUUAGGAAUCUGCCUAUUAGUGGGGGACAACAUUCCGAAAGGAAUGCUAAUACCGCAUACGCCCUACGGGGGAAAGCAGGGGAUCUUCGGACCUUGCGCUAAUAGAUGAGCCUAAGUCAGAUUAGCUAGUUGGUGGGGUAAAGGCCUACCAAGGCGACGAUCUGUAGCGGGUCUGAGAGGAUGAUCCGCCACACUGGGACUGAGACACGGCCCAGACUCCUACGGGAGGCAGCAGUGGGGAAUAUUGGACAAUGGGCGCAAGCCUGAUCCAGCCAUGCCGCGUGUGUGAAGAAGGCCUUUUGGUUGUAAAGCACUUUAAGCGAGGAGGAGGCUACUUGGAUUAAUACUCUAGGAUAGUGGACGUUACUCGCAGAAUAAGCACCGGCUAACUCUGUGCCAGCAGCCGCGGUAAUACAGA